rnacentral:rRNA from 1 species
GAUGAACGCUAGCUACAGGCUUAACACAUGCAAGUCGAGGGGUAACGAGAGGAAAGCUUGCUUUCCUUGUCGACGACCGGCGCACGGGUGAGUAACGCGUAUCCAACCUGCCCCCAACUAGGGAAUAACCUUGCGAAAGUAAGACUAAUACCCUAUAAUUUCCUCAGAUGACAUCUGACGAGGAAUAAAGAUUUAUCGGUUGUGGAUGGGGAUGCGUCUGAUUAGCUUGUUGGCGGGGUAACGGCCCACCAAGGCAACGAUCAGUAGGGGUUCUGAGAGGAAGGUCCCCCAAAUUGGAACUGAGACAAGGUCCAAACUCCGACGGGAGGCAGCAGUGAUGAAUAUUGGUCAAUGGGCGGGAGCCUGAACCAGCCAAGUAGCGUGCAGGAUGACGGCCCUAUGGGUUGUAAACUGCUUUUAUACAGGAAUAAAGUUAGCCACGUGUGGUUAUUUGUAGGUACUGUAUGAAUAAGGACCGGCUAAUUCCGUGCCAGCCGCCGCCGUAA